rnacentral:rRNA from 1 species
AUGGAGAGGAAGGUGGCUAUGGCGUGGGCGAGGAGCGGCAGGUCGGAGAUGGAGCGGAACGGGCCGGCGGCGGCGGCGAGCGCGGUGGCGCGGAGGAAGUCGCGCUGCGCCCGCAGGCGCGCCAGGGAGCGGGAGCGCGUGACGGCGGCGUCCUCGUCCGCGCCGGCGGCGUCCGGCGGCGGGCAGAGGGCGCCCUCCUCCGACGCGGCGUCCAGCGCGUCGCGCAGCUGCCGGAGGAACGACGCCGUGUCGUCGCGCCGGCCGUUGCCGCCGCCAUGGCCGCCGCCGCCUCCUCCUCCUCCGCCACGCCGCCGGUGGUUCUUGGAGAGGAGGAUGGCGGCGCAGUGGGAGAGCGGCUUCCACAGGGAGAGAUGCAUGUGCCGCGCCCCCGAGCAGUCGGAUCGACGACGGGGAAACCAACCGUGCGUCGCGGCUGGGAUCAGCGGGCGCGGCGAGGCAUGGGGAUGGGGCUGA